rnacentral:rRNA from 1 species
GAUGAACGCUAGCGGCAGGCUUAACACAUGCAAGUCGAGGGGUAACAGGUUAGUAGCAAUACUGAUGCUGACGACCGGCGCACGGGUGCGUAACGCGUAUGCAACCUACCUUAUACAGGGGGAUAACCUUUCGAAAGGGAGACUAACACCGCAUAACAUUGUUUUCAGGCAUCUGGGGAUAAUUAAAUGAGCGAUCAGGUAUAAGAUGGGCAUGCGUAGCAUUAUUAGGGGGAUGGCGAGGUAACGGCUCGACCAUGGCGAUGAUGCUUAGGGGUUCUGAGAGGAAGGUCCCCACACCGGUACUCGAGAUACGGUCCAAACUCCUACGGGAGGCAGCAGUGAGG